AGAGUUUGAUCCUGGCUCAGGAUGAACGCUGGCGGCGUGGAUAAGGCAUGCAAGUCGAAUGGGUUUAGACCCAUGGCAAACGGGUUCGGAUAACAUAGGAAUCUACCUCAGAGUCGCGGAUAAUCUGGAGAAAUCCAGGCUAAUACGCGAUACGCUCUACGGAGUAAAGAUUUAUCGCUUUGAGAGGAGCCUGUGUCCUAUCAGCUUGUUGGUGAGGUAAUAGCUCACCAAGGCUAUGACGGGUAGGGGGUGUGAGAGCAUGACCCCCAACAUUGGAACUGAGACACUGUCCAAACACCUACGGGUGGCUGCAGUCGAGAAUAUUCCACAAUGGACGAAAGUCUGAUGGAGCGACGCCGCGUGCGGGAUGAAGGCCUUCGGGUUGUAAACCGCUUUUUUCAGGGAGCAAUUACGAUGAGAGUACCUGAAGAAUAAGAGGUUACUAACUCUGUGCCAGCAGUAGCGGUAAUACAGAGACCUCAAGCGUUAUCCGGAUUUAUUGGGCGUAAAGCGUAGGUAGGCGGGUAUGUUAGUCGGAUGUCAAAGACCGGGGCUCAACCCCGGGAAGGCAUACGAAACGGCAUAUCUAGAGAAUGUGAGAGAUCGGUGGAAUUCAUGGUGUAGUAGUGAAAUGCGUUGAUAUCAUGAGGAACACCCAAGGCGUAGGCAACCGAUUGGCACAUUUCUGACGCUGAGCUACGAAAGCGUGGGUAGCGAAUGGGAUUAGAUACCCCAGUAGUCCACGCCCUAAACGAUGCAUACUAGGUGCAGGGAGAAUCGACCCUUUCUGUGCCGUAGCUAACGCGUUAAGUAUGCCGCCUGGGAAGUACGAGCGCAAGCUUAAAACUCAAAGGAAUAGACGGGGAUCCGCACAAGUGGUGGAGCAUGUGGUUUAAUUCGACGGUAAGCGAGGCACCUCACCAAGGUUUGAAAUCUAGCUGCAGAGCCCAGAAAUGGGAUGUCCUUCGAGGGUGCUAGACCAGGUGCUGCAUGGUUGUCGUCAGCUCGUGUCGUAAGAUGUUCCGUUCAGUCGGGAAACGAGCGCAACCCCUAUGAAGUGUUAUAUGUGUCACUUCAGACUGCCCCCUCAAAAGGGUAGAAUACACUGGGUAUUCUAAGUUUUUGAGGGGGAGGAAGGCGGGGAUGACGUCAAAUCAGCAUGGCCCUUUGACACCUUGGGCGACACACGUGCUACAAUGGCCGAUAAUAAAGGGUUGCCAACCAGCGAUGGGGAGCUAAUCUCAAAAACUCGGUCUCAGUUCGGAUUGCAGGCUGCAACUCGCCUGCAUGAAGCUGGAAUCACUAGUAAUCGUGAAUCAGCCACGUCACGGUGAAUGCGUUCUCGGAUCUUGUACUCACCGCCCGUCACACCAAGAGAGCCGGCAAUACCAGAAGGCCCCGGGUUAAAUCGGGGACGACGGUAGGGUUGGUAAUAAGGGUGAAGUCGUAACAAGGCAUCCGUAGCGGAAGCUGUGGAUG
rnacentral:rRNA from 1 species